rnacentral:miRNA from 1 species
UACCCGUUCUCCGUCAUCCUUCC